GCAGGGCUGGCAGGGAGGCUGGGAGGGGCUGGCUGGGUCUGGUAGUGGGCAUCAGCUGGCCCUCAUUUCUUAAGACAGCACUUCUGU
ensembl:miRNA MIR1207 microRNA 1207